rnacentral:tRNA from 1 species
GCGGGGGUUGCCGAGUUUGGAAAAGGCGCUAGGUUGAGGGCCUAGUCCCGUAGGGGUCCGUGGGUUCAAAUCCCAUCCCCCGCA